rnacentral:rRNA from 1 species
ACUCCUACGGGAGGCAGCAGUGGGGAAUAUUGCACAAUGGGCGCAAGCCUGAUGCAGCCAUGCCGCGUGUAUGAAGAAGGCCUUCGGGUUGUAAAGUACUUUCAGCAGUGAGGAAGGUGGGUAGUGUUAAUAGCAUACUCAUUUGUACGUUAGCUGCAGAAGAAGCACCGGCUAACUCCGUGCCAGCAGCCGCGGUAAGUACGGAGGGUGCGAGCGUUAAUCGGAAUUACUGGGCGUAAAGCGCAUGCAGGUGGUUUGUUAAGUCAGAUGUGAAAGCCCGGGGCUCAACCUCGGAAUUGCAUUUGAAACUGGCAAACUAGAGUACUGUAGAGGGGGUAGAAUUUC